GUGAGCAUAGUUUAAUCUAAAACGUCAGAUUGUGAUUCUGAAGACAGAAGUGAAAACCUUCUUGCCCACC
rnacentral:tRNA from 1 species